rnacentral:rRNA from 1 species
AUGAACGCUAGCGACAGGCUUAACACAUGCAAGUCGAGGGGCAGCGGGGUGUAGCAAUACACCGCCGGCGACCGGCGCACGGGUGAGUAACGCGUAUGCAACUUGCCUAUCAGAGGGGGAUAACCCGGCGAAAGUCGGACUAAUACCGCAUGAAGCAGGGAUCCCGCAUGGGAAUAUUUGCUAAAGAUUCAUCGCUGAUAGAUAGGCAUGCGUUCCAUUAGGCAGUUGGCGGGGUAACGGCCCACCAAACCGACGAUGGAUAGGGGUUCUGAGAGGAAGGUCCCCCACAUUGGUACUGAGACACGGACCAAACUCCUACGGGAGGCAGCAGUGAGGAAUAUUGGUCAAUGGCCGAGAGGCUGAACCAGCCAAGUCGCGUGAGGGAUGAAGGUUCUAUGGAUCGUAAACCUCUUUUAUAAGGGAAUAAAGUGCGGGACGUGUCCCGUUUUGUAUGUACCUUAUGAAUAAGGAUCGGCUAACUCCGUGCCAGCAGCCGCGGUAAUACGGAGGAUCCGAGCGUUAUCCGGAUUUAUUGGGUUUAAAGGGUGCGUAGGCGGCCUUUUAAGUCAGCGGUGAAAGUCUGUGGCUCAACCAUAGAAUUGCCGUUGAAACUGGGGGGCUUGAGUAUGUUUGAGGCAGGCGGAAUGCGUGGUGUAGCGGUGAAAUGCAUAGAUAUCACGCAGAACCCCGAUUGCGAAGGCAGCCUGCCAAGCCAUUACUGACGCUGAUGCACGAAAGCGUGGGGAUCAAACAGGAUUAGAUACCCUGGUAGUCCACGCAGUAAACGAUGAUCACUAGCUGUUUGCGAUACACUGUAAGCGGCACAGCGAAAGCGUUAAGUGAUCCACCUGGGGAGUACGCCGGCAACGGUGAAACUCAAAGGAAUUGACGGGGGCCCGCACAAGCGGAGGAACAUGUGGUUUAAUUCGAUGAUACGCGAGGAACCUUACCCGGGUUUGAACGCAUUCGGACCGAGGUGGAAACACCUUUUCUAGCAAUAGCCGUUUGCGAGGUGCUGCAUGGUUGUCGUCAGCUCGUGCCGUGAGGUGUCGGCUUAAGUGCCAUAACGAGCGCAACCCUUGCCACUAGUUACUAACAGGUUAGGCUGAGGACUCUGGUGGGACUGCCAGCGUAAGCUGCGAGGAAGGCGGGGAUGACGUCAAAUCAGCACGGCCCUUACAUCCGGGGCGACACACGUGUUACAAUGGCGUGGACAAAGGGAGGCCACCUGGCGACAGGGAGCGAAUCCCCAAACCACGUCUCAGUUCGGAUCGGAGUCUGCAACCCGACUCCGUGAAGCUGGAUUCGCUAGUAAUCGCGCAUCAGCCAUGGCGCGGUGAAUACGUUCCCGGGCCUUGUACACACCGCCCGUCAAGCCAUGGGAGCCGGGGGUACCUGAAGUCCGUAACCGAAAGGAUCGGCCUAGGGUAAAACUGGUGACUGGGGCU